rnacentral:snRNA from 1 species
AAAUUUGAUUUGGUUUUGGUUAAUUUUUCAGUUUAAUCUGAAUCAUCACACAACCCUAGACCAUGGCAUAGGUUAGUGACCUCCAUUGCACUUUGGAGGGAUGCCCGCCUAAGGUAGGUUCAAGUAGUUGAGCCUACAUCAUAAUUUGUGACAGUACGGGCUUGCGUUCGCGUCGUCCCUUC